GAAAGAUGCUGAGCUGCUGGAGUGGCUUCAGAGAACAUCUUCUGAGGAGAGGCUGAGGGAAUGUGGGUUAUUCGUCCUAGAGGCUGAGGGGAGGCCUUUUGCUCUCUAUAACUUCCUGAAAGGUUGAAUUCAGAUACAAAGACAGGAGCUGCACACCAUUUUCAUACCACAUUCUGCGAGCCGUUGUGAAAAAGCUGCCCAGAAUAAUGGCCCCAUUUGGAGGUGAUGCAGAUGCCAAGGCACUGAAAGACCAAAACUGCAACCCACCCAAGGGUUCAGCUAGGGAUGUCUUUGGUAACUGUGAUCCUCCCCAGUUCGAGGACUUACAGAAACUGCUCAAAAUGGCUCUGUGGUACUGGGCAGCUCAUGACCUGUCCAUCUUUGAGGAAUAAAAAAGCAGUUCAGCUGAGGCAGGUCGCAGGCACACCAGGAACGGCAGCAUCUCCCAUGCAGAUGCACAGCAAGGAACCCUGACGUGAACGCAUCAGCAUUCCUAAGAGACAGCUUCCCAGCUGUUCUGAUCUAGAGAAAAAUCUAAACCCAUUAAAAAACAACUUCUGUGAACCAAGACUGGCAUGAAAUUGUCCCAGAAAGGAAGCAGAGUAAACAGAGCACCCACAGUCUGCUACAAAAUCCUUAGGCUUGCAUUAGUCUGAUGUGCAUCCAUCUUAAUUCAAGUUGAUCCAUUGCAGUCUUGGCAGCCUCUCGACAGCAAACGGGUAGGAAACGACAUUGGGCAGACUCCGCCGCAGCAGCGAAAGCAGGCAGCAAACAGCAAACCUGGGGCCAUCUCCUGGAGCCAGUUCCUGGGCUGCAGCUCUGUCCUUGUGUGUGUAUGGGUUUAUUUUAUUUAUAGCCAAGCAGUUAUCAUCAUAAUUGUAUCUGUAAUUUCAAGGGUGCAUUAUCAUUCUAAUGGAUGAUGAGCACUCAACAGUCAGAAGGAACAUUAAUUAAAACAGAAGUUCUCCUGUCCUAGCAGGGAGAGUGUUCCCUAAUCCCCAUUAUGGAAAUUGGUUAAGCCAAGAGAAUAUUUCCUUUAUUGUUUCAACUCUUCAGAAAGCCUUUGAUGUCCUAAGCCAAAGCAACUACCCAUCAGGAACUGAGAGAUGUACUUUGGUUCCCCAUGCCAGCUUUUUACUUAUGUCUGUCAUUUCAUUUCCCCCAUAAUAUGGGGGAAAGUCUUCGCCAACAUCUUCGUUUUCAUUCAUUAGUGAAAUCACAGUAAUAAAACCACUUUGCACUUA